rnacentral:tRNA from 1 species
GUUACUGUAGCUUAAAAGCACGGCACUGAAGCUGCCAAGAUGGCACUCCAUCGCCCAGAAACA